rnacentral:lncRNA from 1 species
UUUUGAAAAUAAUGUGUUCAUGUCAAAUAAAAUGACAGAAACCAAGCAGCUAAAAUGGAAGAAGAGUAUGAAACUGGGAGAAAGUAUAAUACUUACUGAUUGUACUUAUAGUUGUUACAUUGCUAAACUUGUUUCUGACCAUUCAUCCAGCUGGCAUGGUUGCAAAGAAUACUCGUUUGAAGUAACAUGAACAAAGGCAGGGAUUCCUGUUUCUUCUUUUGUUUAAAACUUUCAAAUUAUUAAACAGCCUAUUUUUCCUCCGUGGUCCAAAACACCGUAGCAGCCAGAACUCGAUUCAGCCUGGAGUCUCUGUCCAUGCCUACCAGCGUACCUUUUCCACAGCAGCAGGCUGGGGCCGGAAUUUCGUAUUGUGCUUUAAGAGCUGACGACCGCAGUUGCUGCAGUGCCGCAUGUCUAGCUGCUGCUGGCUCCUUGGCAGGGUGCUUGUCUGGGGCUGCAAAGUUGUUGAGAAGCUGCAGGUGAAUUUGCCUUGGAAACAAGCACACAGGAUAUUUAGACUUUUUUGCAGUCAGCUGGGGAGACUUCCCCUGCCCAUCUUAUCAAGAGCAGGAGCAUGUAAAUGA